AAAGACGGGUGAGAAUCCCGUCCACCGAUUGACUAAGGUUUCCAGAGGAAGGCUCGUCCGCUCUGGGUUAGUCGGGCCCUAAGCUGAGGCCGACAGGCGUAGGCGAUGGAUAACAGGUUGAUAUUCCUGUACCACCUAUAAUCGUUUUAAUCGAUGGGGGGACGCAGUAGGAUAGGCGAAGCGUGCGAUUGGAUUGCACGUCUAAGCAGUAAGGCUGAGUAUUAGGCAAAUCCGGUACUCGUUAAGGCUGAGCUGUGAUGGGGAGAAGACAUUGUGUCUUCGAGUCGUUGAUUUCACACUGCCGAGAAAAGCCUCUAGAUAGAAAAUAGGUGCCCGUACCGCAAACCGACACAGGUAGUCAAGAUGAGAAUUCUAAGGUGAGCGAGCGAACUCUCGUUAAGGAACUCGGCAAAAUGACCCCGUAACUUCGGGAGAAGGGGUGCUCUUUAGGGUUAACGCCCAGAAGAGCCGCAGUGAAUAGGCCCAAGCGACUGUUUAUCAAAAACACAGGUCUCUGCUAAACCGUAAGGUGAUGUAUAGGGGCUGACGCCUGCCCGGUGCUGGAAGGUUAAGAGGAGUGGUUAGCUUCUGCGAAGCUACGAAUCGAAGCCCCAGUAAACGGCGGCCGUAACUAUAACGGUCCUAAGGUAGCGAAAUUCCUUGUCGGGUAAGUUCCGACCCGCACGAAAGGCGUAACGAUUUGGGCACUGUCUCAACGAGAGACUCGGUGAAAUCAUAGUACCUGUGAAGAUGCAGGUUACCCGCGACAGGACGGAAAGACCCCGUGGAGCUUUACUGUAGCCUGAUAUUGAAAUUCGGCACAGCUUGUACAGGAUAGGUAGGAGCCUUUGAAACGUGAGCGCUAGCUUACGUGGAGGCGCUGGUGGGAUACUACCCUAGCUGUGUUGGCUUUCUAACCCGCACCACUUAUCGUGGUGGGAGACAGUGUCAGGCGGGCAGUUUGACUGGGGCGGUCGCCUCCUAAAAGGUAACGGAGGCGCUCAAAGGUUCCCUCAGAAUGGUUGGAAAUCAUUCAUAGAGUGUAAAGGCAUAAGGGAGCUUGACUGCGAGACCUACAAGUCGAGCAGGGUCGAAAGACGGACUUAGUGAUCCGGUGGUUCCGCAUGGAAGGGCCAUCGCUCAACGGAUAAAAGCUACCCCGGGGAUAACAGGCUUAUCUCCCCCAAGAGUUCACAUCGACGGGGAGGUUUGGCACCUCGAUGUCGGCUCAUCGCAUCCUGGGGCUGUAGUCGGUCCCAAGGGUUGGGCUGUUCGCCCAUUAAAGCGGUACGCGAGCUGGGUUCAGAACGUCGUGAGACAGUUCGGUCCCUAUCCGUCGUGGGCGUAGGAAAUUUGAGAGGAGCUGUCCUUAGUACGAGAGGACCGGGAUGGACAUACCUCUGGUGUACCAGUUGUCGUGCCAACGGCAUAGCUGGGUAGCUAUGUGUGGACGGGAUAAGUGCUGAAAGCAUCUAAGCAUGAAGCCCCCCUCAAGAUGAGAUUUCCCAACUUCGGUUAUAAGAUCCCUCAAAGAUGAUGAGGUUAAUAGGUUCGAGGUGGAAGCAUGGUGACAUGUGGAGCUGACGAAUACUAAUCGAUCGAAGACUUAAUCAA
rnacentral:rRNA from 1 species